rnacentral:lncRNA from 1 species
AUGUUUCAUAGAAAAGAAUUAAAAAUAGAUUGUAAUAAGUUAAAAAUGUAUAUAACUUUUUUAAAUAAUUUAUUAAAAGAAACUAAUAACUGUUAUUUGUUGUUUAAAAUUUUUAAUUAUAAUUUUAAUAAUUAUAUAUUUAUUAUAUAUGAACUGAUUUUGUUAUUACAAAAAAUAUAUAUUUAUGAUAAUAUUAAUUUUCAUUUUUAUUUAUAUGACAACAUUAUAUAUUCAGCUGAUAUAAAUUCAUGUUAUUAUUAUAAUUUAUAUUCUUUAAGAUGCUUCCAAAUAUUAUAUAGUGAAUAUUACUUAGAAAAUAAUAAUAAAAUAAAUGUGAAUAAUGAAACGGAGUUGAUAAAUCAUACAUAUGAACAGUACAUAUUACUUAUAAAUAAAAUACGAAAAAAAAAUAUAUAUUAUGUUGGCUAUUUGAAUUACCCAUUCAAUUUCUCAGAUAAACAUAUUGUUUAUAAAAAUAAAGAUAAACAAUAUUAUAUAAAUGAAAAAAAUGAAUUUGUUUUUACAAGUACUAAUAAAAAGUUUAGCUCUUUUUUAUUUUCUCAUACGAAAAAUGAACUAAUAAAAAAAAGUUUAAAAAAGUUAGAAUAUUUAAGGGGGUUAAGUCAAUUGGAAGAGCAGUGUAGAGACAGUGAUAGUAGCAACUGUAGUAUUAGUAGCAACAGUAGAAACAGUAGUAAUAGUACUAAUAGUAGAAACAGUAAAAACAGUAGCAACAGUAGAAACAGUAGAAACAGUAGCAACAGUAAAAACAGUAAAAACAGUAAAAACAGUAGAAACAGUAAAAACAGUAGAAACAGUAAAAACAGUAGAAACAGUAGCAAUAGCAGCAAUAGCAGCAACAGCAGCAACAGCUACAGCAAAGCGAAAGACAAUGACUGUAAUGACUAUCUAAGUUCAUCAAUUUCAUCCAAUUACAUAAGUGGUAAUGAAUAUUACAAUGAAAAAAAAAAAAAUAAUAAUAAAAUCGAAUAUUACGAUGAAAAUAUAUUUUUAAUUAUGUAUCGAAAUAAUAAACUAAAUAACAUAAGGAAUAAUAUUGAUAAGUUAAUACUUAAAGAAAUUAAUUUUUUAUAUAAACUGCUAAACAUAAUUGAGUCGAAUGAAAGUGCUUAUAUAUUGAAUGAAAUCAUGAUAUUAUUUAUUUUGUUAGUAAAAAAUAAUAAUGAAAUAAAAAGUAUUAUAACAUAUGAAAGAAUAAUCGAAUCGAUUCUUAAAAUGAUUAAAGAAGAACAUAGUUACUUAUUUAAAAAUGUUUCUGAUUUAUUUUUUUUAUAUAAUGAUAAUAAUUUUGAGUUAUUAAAUGGAUAUAAUCAUAUAAUAAAAAUUUACUCUUAUCAAAAUGGAGUGAUAAUUAAAGGAAAUAAAAAUGACAAAAAUUUAAAAAAACAAAAAAUGAAAUCAAUUGAGCGUAAUUCAGCAACUAGUAGUUGUCUUAGUGGUAAUAGUAAUAGUAGUAGUAGUAGCAAGUAUGACACAAAUAAGCAUAUCAUAAAUAUAAAAAAAAAGUCAGGUGAGAUGGUGCAUAAAUCGGUUGAUUUACUGAGAUCGUCAUAUGGAUUUAAUAGUGACAGCAGUGCAAGUGAUAAUAGUAGUAAAACAAUGUUAAAGUAUGAAGAAUAUAUUGUUAAUUUUACUAAACAGGAUACUUCCGUUGUUACUACUACUACUACUACUACUACUACUGCUACCACUGCUACUACUACUACUACUAGCAGUACAAACAACAAAGACAGUACCAUUCUUAACAAUGAUAAAACCGUAAACGAAGAAAACAACAUCAAUGAAUAUUACUUAGAUAAUUUAUCUAUAAAUGUUGAUAUAAAAAGUGCUUUAAUACUUUUAGAAAGUUUAAUUAUAAAUAGCGAAUUUGGUAUUAAGUACAUUUACGAAUUAAAUAUAUUAAACGACUUUUUAAUUAUAUUUUUAAAUAUGUAUAAUAUAAUUAUAUACAUAUAUAAAAAUCAUAUUUUUAGUUUUUAUAGUAACAGUUUUUUUAUAUUUAAUGUUUUUCUUAAUAUUAUUUAUAACGUUUGUAAAUUUUGUUAUACAAAUAAGAGUUGUGUUAUAAGUGUGGAAAAAUUAAUAAGUUUAUUACAAAAAACAAAAUUUAUUGAAAGCUUUUUUUUUUUUCUUUUUAAGUUUAUAUAUAUAUAUGUACUAGAUAAUUUAAAUGAAAAAAAAAUACAAAAAGACAAAAAGACAAAGUUUAGAGAUAUUACUAAUAAAUCAAAAAAAGUCGUACUAAGUAACAAAACAUAUAACAUCAGUAAUAAUGGAAAUUUAAAUAAAUUAGAAGAGACUAAUACAGUGACAAAUGUACAUAAUCAAUAUAUAGAUAGAAUUGAUAAGAAUGCAUAUAAAAUGAACGUCAUAGAAAAUAAAAGUUUAUACGGGGGUAGUGGAAUAAGUGAGCACAACAAGUGGGUUAGUUCUAAUGACCACCUCGAACAAAACAACAGUCAAACCAAUCUGAAUAAUAAAGGAAAUAGUCCAAAUGACGACUCUUACAUAAACAUGAACAACAACUACAAACACGAUAUUAACAUUCUUAUAAAUACCAUUAUUAAAAAAAUUUUUAACAUAUGUGGUAAAUUUUUAUUCGAAGAUGAAAGUUAUUGUAAGAAUGUUUUAUUUAAUACUUUUGAUAAUUCAGAAGUAAAAAAUAAUGAAUCAUUUGAUGUACAUGUAAAAGAAUACAAUUUUAUAAAAGCUAGUUUUAAGGUAUAUAAUUUUUUUUUUUUCGAACAUAUUGUAGUUUAUUAUUUAAAUAAUAUAAAAAAGAUAAAAUAUAUCGAUUUGUUAUUAAUUUUUUUUUUUUUUAAUUCAAAAAGUAUUUUUCAAAACUUAAUAUAUGAAUUUUUAAUUUGUCUAUGUGAAAAACACAAACAAAUUUCGGACUAUGUAUGUUCUAUGUUAUUUAAUAAGUAUUCUGUUUUUUACUAUUGUAUUAUGAAUAGUAUUAAUAAUUUGGAAAAAAAGUCGCUCUUUAUUGAACGUUGUGUUGUUCGUAAGGAUGGUGAUGAAAACAAAAAGCAUAACAUACGCAUUGGAAGUAACACGCCUAGUGGUAGUAACAAAAGCAAGUACGCCGAUAGUAAUAACCAAAAUUGUAUUAAAACUAUCAACUUAGAUGACAUAACGAUUGAAUGUGAUAGUGAUACUAAAAUAAAUAAACAUGAACAUUUUUUUUUUAAUUAUAUGUCAGAGCUAGAAUUUAUACACAGGAUAUGCAGUUUGUGCUGUAUUAAUAACGAAACAGCAAUAGAUGACAACAAAAACGAUUAUAGUUUCAUUUUUUAUGAUUUAAAAUUUGAAAAAAUAAUUUAUUAUAAUAGUUUAUUUAUUAAUCGUUUUAUUAGUAAAAAAAGGAAAAAAAUGUUUAUAAAAAAAAGCAAUAAUUUAAAUAAAAAGUUAUUAAGUUAUAGAAUAAAUAUUUUAUUAUAUAAAAAGGAUGUACCAACAGAAAUUAAAGAUUUUCAUUUAUUAAUUAAAGUUAUUAAUAAUAAAUUCAUAAGUAACAAAAUAAAAUGUCUAAUAUGUGUUUAUAUUAGUAUUUAUUUAUUUAAAUCUACUAAUGAAACAUUCAAAAAAAAAAUAAUUAAAAAUUGUUUAAAAUUAGAUAUGUUUAAUGUUUUAUACAAAUAUAUGGACAUGUUUUGUAAAUAUAAUUUUAAUUUAAAAUAUUUCCAUUUUCAUUUUUUUCAAAAAAAAAAAAAUGUCAAUGAAAAUAUAAAACACAUACAACAAAUAAAUAAAAAAAACAAAUUUCUAUUUCCAUACUCCAACGAAAAAUCAUUAUAUUUUAUACAGUAUAUUUAUUCUAAUUAUAUUCAUCAAGAUAUGUUAGAAUAUGUUUUUAAGCAAACUAACAAUUAUAUAUAUGAUAAGAAGAAGGGGAAAAGGGAUAAUAAAGGUAAUAAAAUUGAUAAAGGUAAUAAAAGUAAUAAAGGUAAUAAAAGUAAUAAAGGUAAUAAAAGUAAUAAAGGUAAUAAAAGUGAUAAAGACAUUAGUAUAGAGUUAACGUUUACUGAUGAUCAAUGUAUUGAUAAUACCAGUGACAGUUUUGAAAACAAAUCGGAAGGGGAAGAUUCAGAUGAUGGUGUUGAGUAUGAAGAUAAACCGGUAGUAAGCCAGAUUAAAAAAAAUGGCAAAAUAAUAAAACGUGGUAAGACCUGUGAUAAAAAACACAAGAAAAAGAAAAAAAAUAAUAACAACCAUAACGGUAGUACUAUUAAUAGUAAUGGUGAUACAAUUAGUGUUAGUGACAGCAAUAGCGACAGUAAUAAUAUGUGCAAAACUAACCGUGAGCGUACAAACACAAAAAGAUAUCAUAAAAAAUCAAAGAAAAGUAAAAAAAAAAAUCGACUAAAAAUGAUUAACAAUAAUUUAAACAGUUUACGUGAAAAAAUAAACGAACAAGAAAUAAAAUAUUUAGAAGAAAAACUUUAUUUAAAUAAAAUUAUUGAAAAAAAAAAUGAUAUUAUAAAUAAUGUUUUAUAUUCUUAUUUAUUGCUAAAGGAAAAAUAUGAAAAAGUCGAAGAAGAAAAUCGAAACGUGAAAAAUAUAUUAAAUUCAUUAAAAAAAAAGUAUGAAUUAGUAAUGAUUAAAGAUAUGAAUAAAAUACAAAAUGAUUAUAUACAUAUGAUGGAAACACUUGAUAAAACAAAUUAUGAAAAAUCUGUUGCUGAACAAAAAUUAGAAAAGUGUUCUGACUUGUUAAUAUUUUUACAUGAUAAUGUACAAAGUUGUCGUGCGUAUAUGCAAAAUAUUGAAAACAUGAACAUUUUUAAAAAUGAAAAAUUAAAAGAUGAACAAAACAUUGAUAAUACAAACAAAAUGAGUCAAAUGGAUGGUGGUCAAAUGGAUGGUGGUCAAAUGGAUGGUGGUCAAAUGGAUGGUGGUCAAAUGGAUGGUGGUCAAAUGGAUAGUGGUCAAAUGGAUAGUGGUCAUAUGGAUAGUGGUCAUAUGGAUAGUAGUCAUAUGGAUAGUAGUCAAAUGGUCAGUAACCAAAUGGAUAGUAACCAAAUGGAUAGUAACCAAAUGGAUAGUAACCAAAUGGAUAGUAACCAAAUGGAUAGUAACCAAAUGGAUAGUAGCCAAAUGGAUAGUAGCCAAAUGGAUAGUAGCCAAAUGGAUAAUGGUCAUGUUAAACCUACGGAACAAACAAAGACCUUAGAUGAAGCAGAAUGCUUAACACAAACAAAGCAUCCCGAUCAGUCUUACAUUUAUGAUCAAAUCUAAACAAAUAAAGAAAAAAACGUUAGUACA